rnacentral:rRNA from 1 species
AUGCCACUGCCAUGCGAUGAGCGUCUCCUUCUGGCUGCUCGUGCUCAUGCUUUGCCCAUGUGCGUGGGGCAUCAAACUAAUCAACCAGCAACAUCUCCUCCAUAUGAACUGGUGGCUCCGGCGAGGUCGAACGGUGCGGGCGUACGAGGUCGAACUGCGCAGAGUGGAGGACCGGGGCAUGGCGUAGGUGACGGCCGACCUUGGCGAGGUAGGAGGUGGAACGCUGGGAGGGGAGGAGCUCGGCCGAGACCAGGGGGAGGGCCGGUCUUGAUCCAAGAAAAGGUCGUGGUCCAGCGACGGAAGCGCAGGGUUGCAGCCUUGCAGGCAACGACGGCCGUUAGGUGGUUACUGGCGGCGGCGCACCUGGUGGCGGGGAGGUGGUUGGGGCGGAGGGCGGCUGCCGUGGGGGAGGAGGCGCGCCGGCGUUGGAGGAGGAGGGGCGCCGACCGCGGGGGAGGUGGCGCGCGGCGGCGGGGAUGGAGGCACGCCGGCCGUGGCGGAGGUGGCGCGCGGCGGCGGGGAUGGAGGCGCGCCGGCCGUAGUGGAGGUGGCACGCCAGCCGUAGAGGAAGAGGCGCGCGGCGGCGUGGAUGGGGCCGGCGCCGGCGUGGGUGCGUUGGGAGGGGCGCGUGGGAGAGGGAGGCGGGUGGAUCCAGAGACGUGGGGGGAGGUGGAGGCUUGUUCUACUUUUCACCCAUGCCCCUCUUUCUCACAGGAAGCGGAGGAUGAUAACUCGCACCCUGCCGCCACCUCCGAACCAGCCACAACGUCAGCAGGCGCGUGCACGCCGGAGAUUCAGGCCGGCCGGAGGUCAUACAUCACGAGCAGAUCAGAUCGCCUCCGAUCUGACGAGGGGAGCCCGGGGCCUCCCCGCGCCAUGACCAGUGCCCACCGGGACCUUGCUGCCCGCGCAGCCGAGGGGAUCCGGCCUACCUCACCGACGAGCACUCCCCGCCGCCGGAGGAGCGCCGUCCGCACCAGCGAGGCCGCCGCCUCAGAUCCGCCGCGAAGAACGCCGCGCCGCCACCGGCCCGCGCGCUCCAGUGACGUGCCGCCCCGGCCAGCAGGCCGCGCCGCCCCGCACACUAGGAACCUGGGCCUGGAGAUGACCCAUAUAAGGAUAUAUGUGAGAGGUAUACGUACAGGUCUACGAACUCAUCUCCAAAUUAGACAAUAUGUUGGAGAUGAGGGGGUUUGCCUAAUUGGAACCAGAGAGAUGGUCACCGUAAAACAGGGUGCUAAAGACCUACUGAACUAUUUGUUAUUUCUUUCUAGAAAGGCUACAAUUGAACUUGUUCUCAGAGUAACAAGACUUCUCUUAUCAGCAAUCUUAACUGCAACUCCAAAGACUCUUGGGAAUAAUUAUCAAAUAUGGGGAAAGAAAGUAAAAAGAAGAAAAGGAAAGGAAAAGAAAAGAAGACAAAUAAAGGAGAGGACUACUUGUGGCCAAUUUCAUGGCCUCUCAUGGCCAUGCCCGCGCCACUUCACUCUUCCCCAUCCUGAAGUGCGGCUGCUGCUUUUGGGGAUCCGCUCGGAGAGGACUACUUCUGGCCAAUUUCUUUCUCCACCAGGUGAGGACUAUUCCCCUGGCCGCUUCAGAUCCCCACCAGGUUUACAACACGAGAUUCCUGACCAGAAGGGGAACAAGGCGGAGUGGCAUGGUGACCAGUUCCAGAUGUGCAUCUGUUCUCGUGAAACUAAGGACAAUAAGUGCAUGGAAGUGCUCAUGAUAGAGUGCCAGUUGAGAAGAAUCUCAGUGAGGAACCUAGGAUACACACAGGAAGAAAUUUGUGAUAAUCCAGGUAGAACACCACUUCUAGGGGAUGCUCUUGUUGAUGCCAGGACAGUCUGUUUUGCAUUUAGGAAUGUUGGGGAGGAAUACUACAUCAAGAAGAACGAUCGGGUAGAGUUUAUCGCAAUACUUGGACUAUUUGGACUGCUUGUCAGUACAAUUCGGAUCAACUCCCCCGAACGCCCAAGCCUCCCAAGACGGUGCCUCCAUGGAGGUUACGACGCAAAGGGCACCGCCGCCGUCCAAUCCAAGACGGAUUUUGGACUUUCGUCCGGGAACGGGACGGAGGUGGAUAGGAGGGACCUCGACUUCGCCAUCAAGAUGGGUAACGACCAGCCAAGACCCGAAAACUCCAGAGAGGGGAGCACCAUAAGGCUCAACACCUCCGGCGUAGAUCCAUCUAGGCGCCGGAUCAAAGAAGACCCGACCUGGUCAGCGACGAAAGCCACCAUCCUGCGCCGGCCGGCGGCGAUCAGGCACCAGAUCCAGAAGGAUCGAACCCGAGACCGACGGCGCACGCGACCACCAGAUCCAGCGGCCGCACCACGCCGCGAGCACGAACCCCAACCGCCGGCGCGCUGCGCACGUCGCGGCCAGGAUCCAUCUGCAGCGCCGCCGCACCCCGCAAAAGUACGGCGCCUCCUCUCGAACGGCCGUCCCGCGCCAGCCCAUUCGGGGGAAGGAGAAGGGAGCCCCGCCGCCGCCCCUGCCGGCCUGGCUUCGCCCGGCGGCGCUGCUGGCGGCGGCGAGGAUGGAGGAGAUGCGGGGGAGUCCGGGCGCCGGCGGCUAGGGUUUCCCCCUGGUCGCCCGCGGGGGCGACCCGAGGGGUACCAAUCCGCAAAAUGA